AUACCGCCAACUUGGAGGGGUCGGUGCCAGGCCCCAGACUCACCGCGCGGCUUCGGCCAAGGCCUCAGCUGCCGCCGCCAGUGCCGGUACCGCAGCUUCAGACUCCCGACCCCACCACCCGCCUUCCCCGCUGUCCUCUAAGCCGGGCGGGAGAGAGGGUGGGCUCCCAGACCUAAGGACCAAUUGAAAGGCGAAGUAAGAAGAUUGGCUGGAAUAUAGACCAAUAGUAACGAAGGCGAAAUGACGCUUCAGGCCCGGCUUCUCCGGAGGGCGGGGACUGUUCAAAUAGACAAACCAUGCGGCCAGUGGCAGGAGAAAGGAGCCUACUGUCGGCUCUGGAGAGCCAAUCGGUGGUGAGUUCACAUCAGUCACUUCCAUGCACACUUCCGGUGUAUCGCUACUCUAAUUCCCCUCUGCACCUGGGAAGCGGCCAAGCCGAAUCCGCUCUCUGGGUACCGCGGGAUGGGAGGGAUAGGUGGUAGGCAGGUUCGAGAGAGGCUCGAGACCUCGCCCAGUGUAAUUAUGAAAGGAGCCUGUGGGCCUUGCCAAGGCCUUGUAAUUACUGGACGUUAAGUUUAAUAUCCAUUUGAAAAUGUUUUUAGUUAUACUUUCUCACUGCAAAAAAUUUUUGGCUCACAGGAUAAUUCCCAAGAGAUUACAGCCAAUUUUUAAUUCAAUAAGGUAUUGAUAAGUAAUUUUAAGGAGACUUGGUGGCGCAGUGGUUAAGAUCGGCAGUUCGAGUACACCAGCCCCUCCCUAGAAACCCUAUGGGGCAGUUCUACCCUGUCCUCUAGGGUCGCUGAGUCAGAAUUGACUCGAUGGCAAUGAGUUUAAAUACUUUUAAAAGCAAUAUUGUUUUUUUUAAUCCUCUAAACAAUAGCAAAAAAUGGAAUUUCAGUGCAUCUCUUCUUAUUAAAAAUUUCCAAAUAGGUCCUUGUGUGCUGCAAAUGGUUUGCCCUCCCAGCUGAAAGGUCGGUGGUUCGAACCCACCUAGUGGCAUUGAGGAAUAGAAGCCUGGUGAUCUGCUUCCAUAAAGAUUUCAGCCAAGAAGACACUAUGGAGCAGUUCUACUCUAACACAUGGGGGUCCCAUGAAUUGGAGUCCACUGGCAACACACCACAACAGCAACAAUAUGUAUCUUUCUAGAGUUUCUUUAUGCAAAUAAAGCAAAUAUGAAUUUACAUUUUCCUGUGUUUCUCCUUCCUUACACUGUAUACGCUGUUCUGCACUUUUUAAAUUUCAGUGUAUCUUGGAGGUCUUUCCACGGUAGAUAUAUAGAAAGCUUCUUUUUUAUAGCUGUUUGGUAUUCCAUUAUGCAGAUAUACCAUAAUUUGUUUUCGCAGUCCCCUGAUAAUAGACAUUUGCUUUGUUUCCAACUUUUUGCCAUUAAAAACAGUGCUUCAAUGUAUGCCCUUGUGCAUAUAUCAUUUUGUCCUGGGGCAGGUAUAUCAAGGCAAAUUCCCAGAAAUGGGGUUGCAGGGUCAGGGCAAAUUAAUGCGUAGCUCUCACAGAUAUUGUCAGAUUGCCCUCUAUAAGGGAGAUAUUGUUGUCACUCCCACCAACAAUAUAUGAGAUUUUUACCACCCUGAGAUGUGACAAGGAAACCCUGGUGGCGUAGUGGUUAAGUGCUACGGUUGCUAACCAAAGAGUCGGCAGUUCGAAUCUUCCAGGUGCUCCUUGGAAAUUCUAUGGGGCGGUUCUACUCUGUCCUAUAGGGUUGCUAUGAGUCGGAAUUGACUCGACGGCACUGGGUUUGGUUUUGGUUUUGGAAGAUGUGACAAAGCUCUGUUUUCUAAUUAACAAUUAAAGGUGGUUUAUAACAAUAGUAAUCAGCACAUUUGUAGGUCUGUUGCCUGGUGGCACAGUGGUUAAGAGCUUGGCUGCUAACCAAAAUGUCAGCAGCUCACAUCCACCAGCCACUCCUUGGAAACCCUAUGGGGCAGCUCUACUCUGUCCUAUAGGGUCACUAAGGGUCGGAAUUGACUCGAUGGCAAUGGUUCAUUUUGUUUUGUUUUUUCCUCAUUUUACAAAGACCUUUCUUACCCGUUUCAUUAAAAUCUCUCUAGUUGCCAUGGGGUUGAUUCUGACAGCGACCCCAUGUGUGUCAGAAUAGAACUGUGCUCCGUAAGGUUUUCAAUGGCUGAUUUUUUUUGGAAGUAGACCACCAGGCCUUUCCUCCGCGGUAACUCUGGAUGGACUUCAUCUGCCAACCUUUUGAUUAGCAACCUAGCAUGUUAACCAUUUGCAUCGCCCGAAAACUCGUUGCCGUCAAUAGGUUCUGACUCAUAGCAACCCUAUAGGACAGAGUAGAACACCCCCUCAGGGUGUCCAAAGAGCAGCUGAUUGAUUCACACUGUCGACCUUUUGGUUAGCAGCCGAGCUCUUAACCACUGCGCCACCACACACUUACUAACUGUAUGAACCUGGGCAAGUGCUUAAUCUCUAUGUACCUAUUUCCUUAUCUGUAAAACAGGAAUGAUAAUAGUACCUAUCUCAGUAGCCAGUGUUAUGGAGGUUAAAUGCUAGUACAUGUCAAGUACCUACAAAAGUAUCUGGCAGAUGUGAACAGUUAGCAAAUGCUGUGACUGUCAUAUUGUUUCCAUUUUAUACAUGAGUAAGUACUAAAGUACAGAGAAGUUGAGCCAUAGAGUUGAUAAGUGAUAGAGCCAGGUUUUUCGUAUCUCUGCGUCUUUGUCUUGUCUGAUUUGGCAGCACAGGACGCUCAGGCUCAGCCAGCUUCAAAAGUCUGUGCUCAGCAGGGAACUUGCAAAUAUUUAACAACCAGCUCUGGGGGUGGGCGGUGAUGUGUGCAUAUACAAGGCGAGCUUUUUGGGAGUGUGACCUGUGUAGUCAUAAUACUAUGCGGUCCCUGUCUUGAAAUUCUUCAUGAUUUUUGAACAAGGGCCCCACGUUUUUAUUUUGCAUUGAGCCACACAAAUUACGUAGUCAGUCCCGUGUACUUACCUAUUAUAUGUGUAUUAGAAACUUUACCAAUAUAAAGGGUGUGUAGCACACAAUUUACAAAUAAUAAUAAAAUAUAUGAUGUUUUUAUUGUAAAUUCCAUAUAGCUAAAUUGGUUUCACAGAAGGCCUUCACUGAUAUUGUGUAGCCUAUCUAUGGCUGCAGUUGAUCAAUGAGUAGUUUCAACAUGAAUGUUGGUUGAUAGUUUGACGUGUCGAGAGAUGUCAGAACUUUACUUGUCAGUGACUUCAGCGACCUCUUUGGUGAAUAGUUUUCAGAUACCGGAAGAAUAUUUCCUUAGAUUUUUGGUCCUACUCACAAUCUGAGGAGCCCUGAUGGUGUAAUGGUUAACCGCUUGCCUGUUGACCAAAAGGUCGGUGGUUCGAACCCAUUCAGUGGCUCUGAGAGAGAAAAGACCUGGCGAUCUGCUCCCAUAGAGAUUACAGCCUAGAAAACUCGAUGGGGCAGUUCUAGUCUGUCAUAUAGGGUCAGUGUGAACUGGAAUCGACUGGACGGCAUACAACAACAACCACAUUCACAGUGUAAUGGCUACAGAUUUCACAUACUUUUAAAUUUAAUCUGCAUUAUUAACAUUUUCUUUGUCACUUUAAAAAAAAAUUGUGCUUUAAGUGAAAGUUUACAAAUCAAGUCAGUCUCUCAUACAAAAACUUAGACACACCUUGCUAUGUAUUCCUAGCUGUUCACCCCCUAAUGAGACAGCACACUCCUCUUCUCCACCCUGUAUUCCCUGUGUCCGUUCAACCAGCUCCUGUUCCCCUCUGCCUUCACAUCUCGCCUCCAAACAGGAGUUGCCCACAUGAUCUCAUGUGUCUACUUGAGCCGAGAAGCUCACUCCUCACCAGUCUCAUUUUCUGUCUUACCGUCCAGUCCAAUCCCUGUCUGAAGAGUUGGCUUCAGGAAUGGUUCCAGUCUUGGGCUAACAAAGGGUCCAGGGACCAUGAUCUCUGGGGUCCCUCUUGUCUCAGUCAGACCACUAAGUCUGGUCUUUUUUAUGAGAAUUUGAGGUCUGCAUCUCAGUGUUCUCCUGCUCCAUCAAGGGUUCUCUGUUGUGUCCCCUGGCAGGGCAGUCAUCGGUGGUAGCUGGACACCACCUAGUUCUUCCAGUCUGAAGCUGAUGUUGCCUCUGAUUUAUGUGGCCCUUUCUGUCUUUUGGGCUCUUCUUUACCUUAUGUCUUUGGUGUUCUUCAUUCUCCUUUGCUCCAGGUGGGUUGAGACCAAUUGAUGUAUCUUAGAUGACCGCUUGCUAGUAUUUAAGACCCCCACCUUUGUCACUUUUUUGGGGCCCUGGCGGCGCAGUGGUUGAACAGUCAGCUGCUAAACAAAAGGUUGGCAUUUUAAGUCCACCAGCUGCUCCUUGGAAACCCUGUGGGGCAGUUCUACUCUGUCCCAUAGGGUCACUAGGAGUUGCAAUGGUUUUUUUUGUUUGUUUGUUUUGGUUGGUCAUUUUUUUAAAGUCUAGAUAGUCAACAAAAUAAUUAUUAAACAUUCAUUGAUUUGUACGGUGUAAAUACUUCUACCACAGCAUAAUUCAAGCUACCAAUGGAUGUCACUUAGGGGGGCGGAGAUGUGCAGUAGCCCACCAUUAUUCUGUAUUUCCAUCGUGUAGCUACGAUAGAUGUAAAUAGCCUGAGGAACAUAAACGGUAAAAUGUAGUAAAAUAAGCAGGAAGUGACAAGUUGUAUUUGUUACCUUUGUUUUUAAGAAUUUAUUUAAUUGUAAGUUUGUAUAAUUUAAUUUUUAAUAAUGGUUCUGCUUAAUGACCCCAUUACAGAAUUUCUGGAAAUUUAACAAUUAGCUCUCUCCAGCCGGAAGGAACCACAGAUAGGGACCACAAGCUCCCAAAAGGCGGGGCAAUGAAGACAGAACUAGACGCUUGCUGGGAGAAGGGAGGAGGGCAAUUAUUUUCAUGAAGAAAUAAAUACACUAGAAAAUGAAGGUAUAAAAAAAGGCAGGCAGAGCAGCAUAUGGUAUGUCAAUUGCACAAUAAAAAGAAGGAAUUAUUGCUGUUGCGAUCACAGUACGGUAUUACUAAACCAACCCCGUUGCGGUCAAGUCGAUUCUGAUUCAUAGUGACCCACGCAUAGGAUUUCCAAGGCUGUAAGUCUCUAAGGGUAAACCCUGGUGGCGUUAGUGGUUAAGUGCUAUGGCUGCUAACCAAGAGGUCGGCAGUUCGAGUGCACCAGGCGCUCCUUGGAAACUUUAUCGGGCAAUUCUAUUCUGUCCUAUAGGGUCGCUAUGAGUCGGAAUCGACUCGACAGCAGCGGGUUUGGUUU